GUAUAUAAAUAAAACACGGCAUAUAGAGUUCGUUGAUUAUCGUAGUU
rnacentral:guide_RNA from 1 species